CGCAACGCGCAGAACCUUACCAGCCCUUGACAUCCCGGUCGCGGACUCCAGAGACGGAGUUCUUCAGUUCGGCUGGACCGGAGACAGGUGCUGCAUGGCUGUCGUCAGCUCGUGUCGUGAGAUGUUGGGUUAAGUCCCGCAACGAGCGCAACCCCCGUCCUUAGUUGCUACCAUUUAGUUGAGCACUCUAAGGAGACUGCCGGUGAUAAGCCGCGAGGAAGGUGGGGAUGACGUCAAGUCCUCAUGGCCCUUACGGGCUGGGCUACACACGUGCUACAAUGGCGGUGACAAUGGGAUGCUAAGGGGCGACCCUUCGCAAAUCUCAAAAAGCCGUCUCAGUUCGGAUUGGGCUCUGCAACUCGAGCCCAUGAAGUUGGAAUCGCUAGUAAUCGUGGAUCAGCACGCCACGGUGAAUACGUUC
rnacentral:rRNA from 1 species